rnacentral:rRNA from 1 species
GUCAAGUCAUCAUGGUCCUUACGUCUAGGGCUACACACGUGCUACAAUGGUCGGUACAGAGGGUCGCCUAGCCGCAAGGUGAAGCCAAUCCCAGAAAGCCGACCUCAGUGCGGAUUGUCGUCUGCAACUCGACGGCAUGAAGCUGGAAUCGCUAGUAAUCGUGGAUCAGCUACGCCACGGUGAAUACGUUCCCGGGCCUU